rnacentral:lncRNA from 10 species
GAGGAGGGCGUGGCUUCCAGCGUUUGGCGCGGCCUUUGUCUCUGGCUCAGGCCGGAGCCUGAGAUCCAUCUCUACUGUCCCGCGUGUUGCCCCUCGGGAGCACUAGGUGACUUUGUCACAUCCUCUGUUGCCCUGAGAUCUGGAGGUACUGGGAAAUGCAUAGCUAAGAUGCCAGGACAUCCUGGAAACCAGGAAAUGUUUGUCUGCAUCUUGUUAUUGGGCCACAAGAACACACAGCCAGACCCAGUUUGGUCCAGGAACAACAUCUGGCAAGCUAGCCAAGAGUCACUGAAAUGGUGCUGCACUCAGUGGCCCGUGAUUGUGGCGAGAUGGUCAUUUGGAGACUCCCAGAAGCUGCUGGAUAAGAUUGUCCUGGGGACUCUCCCAGGGGCUAUUCCAUGUGCAAAAACCACAUGUCCCUCUCACCACUGGGGAAGAAUGGUGAUCAGGCAGGAGUGGAUGCACUCAAAGGGAAAAGUCUUUCUCUAGGACCUGGAAAUGAUUGCUCGGAAAUGUAAACAGCAAAAAAGUUAGAGCCCUAUCGCACAGCUUGCUCCAAGUUUCAAAAUUACCUUCUGUCCCUCCUGGACUUGGGACCAUUAUUUUUCCUUCAGAUAUGCCAGUCAGCAACCACAGAUGGCCUCCCCAAUUACCAGCUCACCUGCUGCUGUGUAAGACAUGCCUACUUCUGCUUUCACCAUGAUUACAAGUUUCCUGAGACCUCCCCAGCCAUGCAGAACCGUAAGUCAAUUAAACCUCCUUUGUUUACAAAUUACCCAGUCUUGGUUAGUAUUUUUAUAACAUUGUGGGAAUGGACUAAUACUGUCUGUUUUGUUAAAAGACUAAGUUUCAAUUGGGAGCCAAGAUGACUGACUAGACACAGCCAGGGGAAACAACUGACAAGACACUGAGACAUUGAAAUUUCCAUCCCAUUCUGAGCCUAUCUUCAGAUGAAAUGCAUUGCAAGUGGGCAGAGGGAGGACACAGAUGCUGGAAACCCUUCAUGGUGUACCAAGUACUAGGAACUUAAGUCCACUUUUUCUGAGCCCUGCAAAACAUCAGAACUUGCUCAGGGAUUGCCAUCAUUGUGAUCUAGACUGCCGGGGUUUUUUGUGAUUUUUUUUUUUUUUUUUUGAGACGGAGUCUUACUCUGUCACCCAGGCUGGAGUGCAGUGGCGUGAUCUCAGCUCACUGCAACCUCCGCCUCCUGGGUUCAAGUAAUUCUCCUGCCUCAACCUCCUGAGUAGCUGGAAUUACAGGCAUGUGCCAGCACGUCCGGCUCACUUUUGUAUUUUUAGUAGAGAUGGGGUUUCACCAUGUUGGUCAGGCUGGUCUCGAACUCCUGAACUCGUGAUCCACCCGCCUUGGCCUCCUAAACUGCUGGGAUUACAGGCUUGAGCCACCGUGCCCCGCCUAGACUGCCUUUUAUAUUUACUUAAAAUUCCAGAGCACUUUAGCCUGAGGGGCUAGCCACAACUCAGGUACCAAGUGCUGGGAUAAAUAAUUUUCUUCUGUCUGGGGCUGAUCAAAGUGCUCCCGCCAUGGGCAAUGGCCAAAUUCUGCCUUGGAUUACUUCCUACUAAAACAGGGCAGCACUGAGUUCCAAUGCAAAGUUCAACAAUCCCUUGCUGUCCUUCCCCUAAGCACACAAAUUCUCUCUUUGUGCCACAUAUUUACUGCUGGGAAAUGAGGGAUAAGUGGUGUAGGAAAUUCUAGACUGUCUUUCCUACCCUCUUCAGUACCUCUAUUUUGUUAAAACUGGGUACUGUAAUUACUCACCUAAUUUUUGGUUGUUGUGAAGGUGCUUUCUUGUGUGAAUAGUUGUUCAAUUUGGUGUUCCUAUAUGGGAUGAUUGCUAGAGGGUUCUAAUCAGCCAUCUUGCUCCACCUCUGUCUCUCUUCCUUUUUACCAUUAUGAAAUGACAAUCUUAGUCUCCUGUGACAGUUGUUUACUUAAUGUGUAUUUUGUCUAAUAUAAUUAAGACUACUUUACCAAAUUGUGGUUAUUAUUUGCAUGGAAUAUGUUUUUCCAUCCUGAUACUUUCGGCCUAUUUAACUCCUUAGAGCUAAUGUGACCCUAUUGUGGAAAGCAUAUUGUAACAUCUUUUUUUUUUUUUUUUUUUUUGAGAUGGAGUCUCGCUCUGUCACCCAGGCUGUAGUGCAGAAAAUAUUUCUUUAUUUGUUUGUUUGUUUAUUUAUUUAUUUAUUUAUUUAUUUAUUAUACUUUAAGUUUUAG